rnacentral:rRNA from 1 species
GACGAACGCUGGCGGCGUGCUUAACACAUGCAAGUCGAACGAUGAACCAGGGCUUGCCCUGGGGAUUAGUGGCGAACGGGUGAGUAACACGUGGGCAACCUGCCCCAGACACCGGGAUAACCUCUCGAAAGAGUGGCUAAUACCGGAUAUGACCACUCUGGGCAUCCAACGGUGGUGGAAAGGAUUCUGGUCUGGGAUGGGCCCGCGGCCUAUCAGCUUGUUGGUGGGGUAACGGCCUACCAAGGCGACGACGGGUAGCCGGCCUGAGAGGGCGACCGGCCACACUGGGACUGAGACACGGCCCAGACUCCUACGGGAGGCAGCAGUGGGGAAUAUUGCGCAAUGGGCGAAAGCCUGACGCAGCGACGCCGCGUGAGGGACGAAGGUCUUCGGAUUGUAAACCUCUUUCAGCAGGGACGAAGCGAAAGUGACUGUACCUGCAGAAGAAGCACCGGCUAACUACGUGCCAGCAGCCGCAGUAACAC